GAUGAACGCUAGCUACAGGCUUAACACAUGCAAGUCGAGGGGAAACGGCAUCGAAAGCUUGCUUUUGAUGGGCGUCGACCGGCGCACGGGUGAGUAACGCGUAUCCAACCUGCCCAUCACUUGGGAAUAACCUUGCGAAAGUAAGACUAAUGCCCAAUGACAUCCCACGAAGGCAUCCGAAUGGGAUUAAAGAUUUAUCGGUGAUGGAUGGGGAUGCGUCUGAUUAGCUUGUUGGCGGGGUGACGGCCCACCAAGGCAACGAUCAGUAGGGGUUCUGAGAGGAAGGUCCCCCACAUUGGAACUGAGCCACGGUCCAAACUCCUACGGGAGGCAGCAGUGAGGAAUAUUGGUCAAUGGGCGAGAGCCUGAACCAGCCAAGUAGCGUGCAGGAUGACGGCGCUAUGGGUUGUAAACUGCUUUUAUAAGGGAAUAAAGUGGGUAACGUGUGACUUUUUGCAUGUACCUUAUGAAUAAGGACCGGCUAAUUCCGUG
rnacentral:rRNA from 1 species